rnacentral:lncRNA from 1 species
AGUAGUAUUUGGAACAGAUUAGUAGUUUUCCUUCUCUCCAUAUUGUUCAAAGUUUCCCACUGCAAUAAGUGCAUUGUACUUUUUGUUCUUGCAGCUACAUAUCUUAUCAGGAAAACCCAUCCCAGGCUCACGUGUGGGACAGUCUUUUCUCAACUCCAUAGUCAACAGAGGAAAGGAAACCAUUUGUACGCUGCACUAAGGAAAAGUGAUUGAAAAGUGGAAGCCCAUACUUUUCUCUUCAGCAAGCGGAGAUCUGUUUUCAGUCUGAUGUUUGGUGAAAGGAAGCUUCAGAGCUGUGGGCCAGCUGCCAGGAAUGUCUGAUUUCCUUUCCACCCACUCCUAUGAUCCUCCCUUUUGGCAAGGAUUACAGAUGACCACAGCUGUCAUGCUAGGUCAUGCUGUAUCUCUUGCAGUUGUAUAGUUUUAAACCCACGUAAGUAACCCUCAAGAGGG